UACCUGGUUGAUCCUGCCAGUAGUCAUAUGCUUGUCUCAAAGAUUAAGCCAUGCAUGUCUAAGUAUAAACAUUUUAUACGGUGAAACUGCAGAUGGCUCAUUAAAUCAGUCAUAAUUUAUUUGAUGAUUACUUACUACAUGGAUACCCGUAGUAAUUCUAGAGCUAAUACAUGCGUAAAGUCCUGACUCUUGCGGGGAAGGAUGUAUUUAUUAGAUAAAAAAUCAAUGCGAGGUGGCAACAUCUCGGUUGGAGGUGAUUCAUAAUAACUGUUCGGAUCGCAUGGGCUUGUCCCGGCGACAGUUCAUUCAAAUUUCUGCCCUAUCAGCUUUCGACGGUAGUGUAGUGGACUACCGUGGCAUCAACGGGUGACGGAGAAUUAGGGUUCGAUUCCGGGAGAGGGGAGCCUGAGAGAUGGCUACCACAUCCAAGGAAGGCAGCAGGCGCGCAAAUUACCCAAUCCUGACACGAGGGAGGUAGU
rnacentral:ncRNA from 1 species